rnacentral:rRNA from 1 species
AUUGAACGCUGGCGGCAUGCUUUACACAUGCAAGUCGGACGGCAGCACAGAGAAGCUUGCUUCUUGGGUGGCGAGUGGCGAACGGGUGAGUAACAUAUCGGAACGUACCGAGCAGUGGGGGAUAACUAAUCGAAAGAUUAGCUAAUACCGCAUAUAUUCUGAGGAAGAAAGCAGGGGACCAUUUGGCCUUGCGCUGUUUGAGCGGCCGAUAUCUGAUUAGCUAGUUGGUGGGGUAAAGGCCUACCAAGGCGACGAUCAGUAGCGGGUCUGAGAGGAUGAUCCGCCACACUGGGACUGAGACACGGCCCAGACUCCUACGGGAGGCAGCAGUGGGGAAUUUUGGACAAUGGGCGCAAGCCUGAUCCAGCCAUGCCGCGUGUCUGAAGAAGGCCUUCGGGUUGUAAAGGACUUUUGUCAGGGAAGAAAAGGGCGGGGUUAAUACCCCUGUCUGAUGACGUACCUGAAGAAUAG